GCCUGGCUGGCUCAGCUGGUGAAGCAUGUGACUCUUAAUCUCAGAGUUUUGGGUUCAAACCUCACGUUAGGUA
rnacentral:tRNA from 1 species